GACGAACGCUGGCGGCGUGCCUAAUACAUGCAAGUCGAGCGAAGUUUUUCUGGUGCUUGCACUAGAAAAACUUAGCGGCGAACGGGUGAGUAACACGUAAAGAACCUGCCUCAUAGACUGGGACAACUAUUGGAAACGAUAGCUAAUACCGGAUAACAGCAUUAACUGCAUGGUUGAUGUUUAAAAGUUGGUUUUGCUAACACUAUGAGAUGGCUUUGCGGUGCAUUAGCUAGUUGGUGGGGUAAAGGCCUACCAAGGCGACGAUGCAUAGCCGACCUGAGAGGGUGAACGGCCACACUGGGACUGAGACACGGCCCAGACUCCUACGGGAGGCAGCAGUAGGGAAUCUUCCGCAAUGGGCGAAAGCCUGACGGAGCAACGCCGCGUGAGUGAAG
rnacentral:rRNA from 1 species